CUCUCGAGGAUGGCAUCACCAUUAGAACAGAAAAGCUGGAGUGGGUUCUUGGUGCGACAAAGGAUUCUCUCUUUUGCCGUGAUAUGGCGAGGACAUUGUGGAGCACAGAAGAACUAUCAGAGCGGAGCGUGACCGGCGAGGCUUGCAGGCGCUUGGCGAAGGACGGAGUACAGGGGAAGAAGCGCCUGACUCCAAAGAAGGUAGAUGCUCUGGGAAAUGCCUACUGGGAAUACUUGAAAAGAAAUCGGGACACUGAUCAGUCAGGUGAAGAACGCUUCGGCACAAUGACAACGCAUCUGCGUAACCUCCUCUCUGACAUCAACAGGAAAAAAUAAAGUAGGAAAAUGGUC